rnacentral:rRNA from 1 species
GGUAUUGAAAUAAGAUUUUAAAUGAGUGCUAAGAGAAUGAUUAAACAAUUAAAAGCUUUCUUUAAUUAAAAAAUUAAAUUUAAUUUUUUUAGUGCAAAAGCAAAAAUAAAAUUUAGGGACAAGAAGACCCUAUGAAUUUUUAUUGUUAAUAAUUAAAAUUUAAGUUAUUAAUAAUUUAAUUGGGGCGAUAAAAAAAGAAUAAGUAUCUUUUUAAUAAUAAAAUAAGUUCCGUUUUUAACGAUUAAAUGAAAUAAAUACUCUAGGGAUAACAGCGUAAUAAUUUUGGAUAGUUCAUAUAGAUAAAAUAGUUUGCGACCUCGAUGUUGGAUUAGGAUUCUUUUUUGGUGAAGAA